UACGAAGGGGGCUAGCGUUGCUCGGAAUUACUGGGCGUAAAGGGCGCGUAGGCGGAUAUCUAAGUUGGGGGUGAAAUCCCGGGCUCAACCUCGGAACUGCCUUUGAUACUGCAAGUCUCGAGUCCGAUAGAGGUGGGUGGAAUUCCUAGUGUAGAGGUGAAAUUCGUAGAUAUUAGGAAGAACACCGGUGGCGAAGGCGGCCCACUGGAUCGGUACUGACGCUGAGGUGCGAAAGCGUGGGGAGCAAACAGG
rnacentral:rRNA from 1 species